rnacentral:lncRNA from 1 species
UAAAAUUGAAACUAAUCUGUUUGGGUUUUAUUAUCUAUUUUGUUGGGUUGAUCGAUUUCCCGUGGAUCCCGCCGGCGGAGAAGGUGUCGGCGCCAGAGGACGAAGAGGAGCUAGGCCAAAAGGGUUAAUCACGCCUACUGCUUUGCUUUUUUCAUCAGGUUAAAAGAAAAAGAAUUUGUUGUGUAGAUGUUUGGGUUGUACAUUG